AACUGCGCAUGCGCAACCCGCGCGCCGUCGUCCCUGGCAACACUGGCUGCGCUAGCGCCGGGCGGGGUCUCACGGGCGGGCCUGGGCGCACGGCCAGAGCGCCAGGUCCCCACCCCCAGCCCCCGGCGUCCUGCAGCCGGAGCCUGCCUCGCCUGGCUCCUGCUCCCGCCGUCCAGGGCCCCUGUCCAAGCUCGCGGACGCCGGCGGCGUUUUCCAGCUCGAGUGCUCAGCCUAGGGCAGGCUCUGCGUGCGCCCCCUCGAGUGCUGGCCUGGGCCCUGCCAGGCAGAGGCGCUCUUGCGUCAGGACGGCGCCGCCGGGGCCCCGCGAUUCCAACUCGGGGGUCCCGGAGCGGCGCGGUGCGGGGACGGCCUGGCAGCUCCCAGCAGCGAGGGGCGAUCCCCCCCCGCGCAGCACACCCCGAGCUGCCCAGGCCCUUCCUGCGCCACGUGUACCCAGAGCUCCGCCCGGGGGAGACUUCGCUGCUUGUUGGAGAUGCCCAGCGGUAGGGGGAGAGGACUCGGGAGGAAGAGAGCCGAAGGUGUUCCGUGGUCAGUGAGGGCUGGCACUGGCUCUGCACGAAGAUCUCCUCACCUCCCCAGCGGCUCCUGGCCAGCUCCCCAUGGAGAGCCCAGGGCACUUGUCCCUGGAAACAGUGGUGCAGCCAUGCUUGGGCCAAACCAUGAGGCCGCCAGAACCGCGAAAGGCUACUCUACUGAGAGGGAUACUGCGAGAGAGGCCCAUGGGUUUCCAAGCAUCCCUCUCACUCCGCACACUCAUCUCCACGACCAACUUUAAGUGCUGCCUUGAGGCCUGGCUCCCUGUUUGGACUUCUCUGCACCUCCAGGAGCUCACUUCCCGUCACAGCUGGAUGCCUCCUCCCGCCCCAGGCUGCAGCUUCUGUGGGACUGACCUUAAGACCUCGUGGGUUCCUCCUGAGAGCAGCAGAUCUCAGCCAGAUGCUGCCGGGAGGGAGGUGCUAGCGUCCACACCCAGACAGGGGUCCAGUCCAGCCCUGCUCUCCCUGGUCUCCAGGCAGGGCCCUCCCAGGGUGGACAUUGCCCAUCUCUGCCUGGCCAGGGGCUGCUGACCCACUGGUUCCAGAGUCUGAGCCUGUCCUGCACAAGUACCAUGGACAGGGGUCAGCCGGGCACUGAAGAGGCGUGGCAGAAUUGGGCAGGGCAAGGGCCCCAGCUGGCAAGCUGGAGUCAGGGCAAUUCCAACCAAGAAACUGCGGCAGGCCGGGUGUAGUGUCUCAAGCCUGUAAUCCCAGCACUUUGGGAGGCAGUGGGAGAAUCGCUUGAGCCUGGGAGUUUGAGACCAGCAUUGGCAACAUAGAGACACCCUAUCGCUACAAGAAAAAAAAAAAAAAAAAAGCUGGGCAUGGUGGUGCACACCUGUUGUCCCAGCUACUCAGGAGGCUGAGGUGGGAGGAUUGCUUGUGUCCAGGGGUUGCAGGCUGCAGUGAGCUGUGAUCAUACCACUGCACUCCAGCCUGGGCGACAGAGAACCUCUCUAAAAAAAAGGAAAAUGAAAAAUAAACGGGGGCAGAAGCUGAGCCAAGCAGAGGCGGGCAGCUCCUCCUCCAGGGCCCACCUGGCCUGCUGGGGACUCACUCCAAACCGCUUCAUUUUUGGAGGGGGCUUUCCAGGACUGAGAGGUGUCAGAGCUGCUGGUGACAGGAGCAGGGAAAGCACCAUCUGGCUGGCCCCCAGGGGCCCCAUGUAGGGUUCCUCUGCCUGUCAGCAUUUCGACGCUUCUUAGCAGGAUCCUUGGGUCCUUGGUCCCCGGCACCAUCUCCCUCCUUGACCUGCUGAGACCCACAUAAAACAUGUUGCUACUUGGCGUGGGCCCGUCCUCACGCUCUGGUGUCCACCUCCCCACAGCCUGCCUCACGUACCUCCCCAGACUUCUCACGCAUGUCAGGAGCCUCCUGUGGACUCUGGCUCUACCUGCCUCUGGCCUCUGCUUAAUCAGGAACCCACAGUGGGAAAGCUCCUAGGGCCCGCCUGCUGAAGCAAACGCCUCCUUGCAAAGCCCGUCUGCAGCCCCCCACACACCUCACCUCCCCGUGCUUCCUCUGGGGCCCAAGACCUGUCUGCCUCACUUGAAACCCGCGUCGCCUGCUGGCUUCCCUUGUGUCCCCGGACCAGAAGCAUCUUUGGCAGCCCCGCGCCCCUCGUCUUGCUCUGCGUCAGCACCUGAGAGUGGGCGCUAGCAGGGAAACUGGCUUUGAGGGGAAUGGUCAGGGGGCAGCUUUGGUCCUGGGACAGGCGUGUGGCCUGUGGGACAGUCUCUUCUGGGGGCACCUCUGCCCAGGUGGGAGGAGUUGCCAGGGUCUCCCAGCACUGCCAGGCACUUUGCUGGGGCAGGGGGUUAUUCUAUUGCUCACAGCCCUGACACAAGGGCAUUCCCCACCCGCCCUGAUGCCCACAUCCACCCAUACAGGAGGGUGCCUUCAGGGGAGCCUGCAGGGACUCCCGGCCCAGCACUGUCCAUCUGUGUCCCCCGCUUAGCUCCUGCACUGCCAGAUCCCAGCCAGACAGCAGGGACUCACCCCACCUACCGUCCCCUUUGUGCCUGGGUGUGGUGAGUACUCAGUUUAUGGGGAGUGGCCAGGACUCUUGCCAGGGGGAGAGUGGUGGUGGAGGAUGUACCCAUGCCAUCUGCCCUGCCGCAGGGUUUCCUCCCUGUUUCCCUGCAUGUCUUCCCUCCCUCGGGGGAAACGCUGGAUUCUGUUCCCCAAGUGCCCUCUACACGCCCCAUAUAUACCAAGCAUGGUUCUGCAGUGAGCCUGUGGGGUCUCUGGAAAUGAGUUCCCGGGAUAAGUUCCAGAAAGUUGCUCAGCUCUCCUAACUCCUGGCACACCUUGGACCCCCCUGCACACCCUGACACCCUGCUGCUACCCAGCCCAGCUCCCCUCACACAGUGUGCACUGCCUCCGGAGGGAAGGGGGCCUCAUCUUGCUGUCUCCAUACUCGGUAACUAUGUGUUGGUUGAAGGAACCAGACCACCCCUGGCCCUUGUAACCCAACCCUCAGCAGCUCCUCCAAUCCUGUGGGCCUCCUGGAAUGGCUGAUUGUAUGUGUCCACUUCACUGGGCUACAGG